AGAGUUUGAUCAUGGCUCAGGAUGAACGCUGGCGGCGUGCUUAACACAUGCAAGUCGAACGAAGCACUUUAUUUGAUUUCCUUCGGGACUGAUUAUUUUGUGACUGAGUGGCGGACGGGUGAGUAACGCGUGGGUAACCUGCCUUGUACAGGGGGAUAACCUUGCGAAAGUAAGACUAAUACCCAAUGACGUCUCUAGAAGACAUCUGAAGGAGAUUAAAGAUUUAUCGGUGAUGGAUGGGGAUGCGUCUGAUUAGCUUGUUGGCGGGGUAACGGCCACCAAGGCGACGAUCAGUAGGGGUUCUGAGAGGAAGGUCCCCCANAUUGGAACUGAGACACGGUCCAAACUCCUACGGGAGGCA
rnacentral:rRNA from 1 species